CGCAACCUGCCGUGCGCGUGAUCCGCACGAGGUUUGAGCCAACACCCAUACUAUGGGAAUCGAUAUUCCGGUUGCAAACGCACUAGGAUUCGUCCAAAGCGGGAGCACUGGUUAGGUUCCCACCUGCGAAAGCAGGUUCAAAUAGAGGCGGCACACGGCAUGGCGGGGAGGUC
rnacentral:other from 1 species